GGGAAAUGUAGUUACUGCGUGGGCUGCAGUUUAAGAGCAGAACGCUGAGGGAGGGAAGGGGGCAUUUUCUGCUCAUUAUCUGUUACAGGGCUCGUCACCAUGAGUUAUAUACAUUUAUAACCUGCUGAUUAUUAAUGCAGUAAUGUUACAGUUAGAUAACUCUGUGUGCAGAUUUUGCCGUGGUGCAGUCCUGGUAGCCAAGCCUUCGGCUCCCCCGCCAUGAGAAGCCUCGUGUGCUGCUGUGCGGAAAUAAAAUACCACAACUUAAUUCUCGUAAUAUUACGCCUGUAUUCUCGUAAUAUUACAACGUUAAUCUCGUAAUAUUGCGUAAUAUGGCCGUCGUACCUAAAGUAGCCAAAAGGGCCCGUAUGGGAACCGGAAUGUUUUGUCCACCUUGGCUCCAAAUAGGGCUGUGAUGACGAUGAUGAUGUACCACAUCAGGGUCAGUGAUGGGACCAGUAAUGUAAAAUAUUUUACACUGCACAUCAGGCCCGGAGAGGACCCAUGUGAGAUUAAGCAAGGAAUUAAGACACAGAGUGAAUGA
rnacentral:lncRNA from 1 species